rnacentral:sRNA from 1 species
UAAGCCUUGGAAAGUCGCCGGCGCAUU